rnacentral:rRNA from 1 species
CCUGGCUCAGGACGAACGCUGGCGGCGUGCCUAAUACAUGCAAGUCGAGCGAAUCAUUAGGAGCUUGCUCCUGAUGGUUAGCGGCGGACGGGUGAGUAACACGUGGGCAACCUGCCUGUAAGACUGGGAUAACUUCGGGAAACCAGAGCUAAUACCGGAUAAUCCUUUUCCUCACAUGAGGAAAAGCUGAAAGACGGUUUCGGCUGUCACUUACAGAUGGGCCCGCGGCGCAUUAGCUAGUUGGUGAGGUAACGGCUUACCAAGGCGACGAUGCGUAGCCGACCUGAGAGGGUGAUCGGCCACACUGGGACUGAGACACGGCCCAGACUCCUACGGGAGGCAGCAGUAGGGAAUCUUCCGCAAUGGACGAAAGUCUGACGGAGCAACGCCGCGUGAACGAUGAAAGCCUUCGGGUCGUAAAGUUCUGUUGUUAGGGAAGAACGAGUACCGGAGUAACUGCCGGUACCUUUGACGGGUACCUAACCAGAAAGCCACGGCUAACUACGUGCCAGCAGCGCGGUAAUACGUAGGUGGCAAGCGUUGUCCGGAAUUAUUGGG